AUGUGGCCUGCACCAGUGCUUCUGCUCGUCCAGUCGGCUCUGCUGAUUCAAGGAUCUUCCGCCCAGGAUUCUCAGAUCCAGACGGACAAAAUCAAGUAUGUCAGUCUUGGUGGGACGGUGACCAUCAGCGCCAAAGGGAACUCACACACUGAAAAUUAUCUCAGUUGGUACCAAGUGAAACCUGGACAGGUUCCUAAACCUCUGAUCUACGGUGCAUCAAGUCUUUCUUCUGGAACACCAUCUCGAUUCAGUGGCACACAAUCUGGCUCUGACUACACUCUGACUAUCAGUGGUGUUCAGGCAGAAGAUGUCGCUGAUUACUACUGUCUUGCCUAUAUUGGAUCUUCAACGGAAGUGAAAGUGGAAGAUGAUGAUGACUGGUCCACUGAACAAAGAUCACCAAGCAGAACCAGCGUCAAUCUGAACAAGUCCAAGUUCAAGGAUUCUUCAUUCCUUCAAUGA